UACGUAGGGGGCAAGCGUUGUCCGGAAUCAUUGGGCGUAAAGAGCGUGUAGGCGGCCAGAUAAGUCCGCUGUGAAAACUCGAGGCUCAACCUCGAGACGUCGAUGGAAACCAUCUGGCUAGAGUCCGGAAGAGGAGAGUGGAAUUCCUGGUGUAGCGGUGAAAUGCGCAGAUAUCAGGAAGAACACCCGUGGCGAAGGCGGCUCUCUGGGACGGUACUGACGCUGAGACGCGAAAGCGUGGGGAGCGAACAGG
rnacentral:rRNA from 1 species